GAAAGCUCAACUCUAUAAGAAAACUUAUACAAGUUAGGUCAUACCCUCACACUUAUAAUUUUUAUUUAUAAAAAAAGUAUAUAGGAAUUAGGUAUUACUAUAAUUAAUUUUCUAAAUAAUAAUUGAGAUUGUUGGCUGCCGAGGGCCGAUUGAUGAGGUCCAUGAACUAUAUUCAUUAAUUAUGUGGGACACAAAAAAUAGACCUAGAGUCAAAGUCACCGGACCCCUAUAAAAUUUCUACCAACAUAAGCAAUCUGCUACCAUACAUGACAUAAUUUUUUUUUAUUGAAAUGGACAUAUUAUUGAAGAUAAAUCAUGGAUACAGACUGAGCUUUUGGGCUCCCAUAUCGGUUGUGGACGUGUGUGUGUAUGGAUUUAUAGGCAUGUGCUAAGGCUCCUCCCAGUCAGCAAUUGCCUGGGUGUGAGUGUUGAUACAGUAACUCCUAUACUUCCGUGUGUGCGUGUGUUUCACUUUACUGUCAAAAAAUAUCAAAAGGCCUUGUUGCUGUUUGUGGGUGGGCCGAUGUGGUCUGGUUGAGGUCCCAUGUGGGGUGUGCCCAGGACAGAUCCUUCGGGCUCCCACAUCGGUUGUGGACGUGUGUGUGUGUGGGUUUAUAGGCAUGUGCUAAGGUUCCUCCCAGUCAGCAAUUGUGUAACACCCCUAAUUUUUAAAUAAUUAUUUUAUAUGUAGAUAUAAAUAUUUUAGUCUAACCCUCGGUGUUGUGGGCUUUGGUAGGUACUUUCGUUUCGUGACAAUUCGACCGUCGCCAAGAUAUACAAUUUCGGGCUGAGCAGAUAAGUUGUCGGAAUCACUUCGGAACUGGAUCAAAGUUAUAGGCUACCCCACCAUUUUCAGACUCUCCGGAUGCGUUCCAAGUGUCAGAAUUGGCAUAGGUUUGGUAGGUCCCAAGUAUGAGGGAAACUCUGUCAGAUUUUCGGCACAACUUAGGGUAUUUUUGAUUCUUUUUAAACUUGUACUGAGUCAAUUAUAUUAAAUAAUUAUAAUAUAAUUGUCAGGUAGGCUGGGACAGUCUUCCUCCUCCACUCAGCCACUGCAGUGACCUCGGUUUACGUUUGUGAGUAAAAUAUUAAUUUUAAUUAUAAUUUUAAUAUUAUUAUAUGUCAGGCAUGCCCAUGCAUCACUUAUAAAUAUAUAUUUAUAUAGUUAAAUACUAGGCACAUUUUAUAUUGCAUCUUUAUUUGAUGAAAUGUUAUGGAUGUUGUUUUAUGGUAAUUUAGAGCAGUGUGCGUGUGUUGGCUUGUGUGUGGCGUGUGAUAUUGGUUAUGGACUGGACGAGUAGAUGCGGCUGGAGCUUGACUCGCUGGGACCCGAUCCUUUAUGAAUAAGUUGGGGUAGGCACUGCUUGAGAUGAUCUUGCUGGCCCCUGCAUUUGGUCUAUUAAGAGAAAGUCUGGCUUGAGUUGUACUCGCUGGCAGAGGUUGGAUUAAGAGAGCUAUAUAGGGGAUCAACUCCCAUAUAUGUAUUGUUUGAAUAUUUUAUGAGUGUGUGAGUGCUCCAAAUUACCUUUUUGUAGUUUAUGAUGUGAUUUGUAUGAAAACUAUGAAGGUGUUGCAUUCCACUCUUUAGGAUGCAUUAGCUUUAGAUAGCUAUAGAAAUUGUACUUAAAAUCGAUAUUUUACUCUCUGAAUUGAACGCUCACUCCUGUUCACUUAUUUUUCUAGGAUACAGGAGGCCCUUUAUUGAGUUUAACCUGCUCUGUUCUUCGUAGGUCUAUUAUCUGCAUUUAAUUGUAUUUUGUCCUUUUAUUCUGUUCUAGAACUCCGCAUGUAUUAUUAUUAUUAGUGUUAUAUUCAUUUGGAUCUGUUAUGUAUGAAUUAACUGGAAUUAUUGGCAUGAUAUAUGCAGUGUUAUCAAAGGCGAGCGAGGCGCCCAGGCGAGGCGUCAGGCGAGGCGAGGCGCCCCUCUGUCGCCUCGACUGGAAUGCCUGACUCGGCUUGGAGGAGGCGACGCCUUCGGCCGGAGAGGCGAGAGGCAACGCCUCUUCACAGCAACGAUACACUUUUCUCCUCAACCUCACGAAGACGCUUUUCUCUUCAACGGCUCAACCUCGACUUCACGACGACAACAGAUUAUAAAUGGGUGAUAAGAAUAAUACAUCUGGAUCUUCUGCUAGUAGUAGAAGAACGGACCCAGGAUGGGCACAUGUAAUUCAAGUUAGUGAAAACAAUACCAAUGAUCUUCAAUGCAUGUACUGUAUGAAAGUUUAUAAAGGAGGAAUUAAUAGAAUCAAGCAACAUCUUGCUGGAGGUUACAAAAAUGUAAUUCGGUGUCCAAAAUGUCCAGAAGAUGUAAGGAAUCAAAUGCAGGAAUUCAUUGCUAAAAAAAGAGAGCAAAAAUCAAUCAUGAAUAUGGAAAGACCACCUGAAUUUGAUGAUGUUGAAGUACUAGGAUUAGAUGAAAAUGAGGAAGAGGAAGAGUUGAUUCAAGAAAUUGGCAGUGAAAGAAGAAGGCAAGUACUGGAAGUUACAGGUACUAGUGCUUUUAAAAAAUCAAAAGUUUUACCACCACAAAGUAGUAGAGGGCCUAUUGACUGUUAUUUUUCCCCUAGACCUGCUGUUUUGGGAAAAAAUAUGAGGCAAACUACCAUUGAUGAAAAUAGUCCAGCUAAAAAGGAGUUAAGGGAGCGUGCUUGUGUUGCCAUAGCACGAUGGAUGUAUGAUGUGGGAAUAGCUUUUAAUGCUGUGAAUUAUGAUAGCUUUGGGGAAAUGAUUCGAGCAAUUGGAAAUUAUGGGAAAGAAAUGAAACCUCCAAGUUUUCAUUAGGUUAGAGUUCGGUUACUUAACAAAGAAGUGCAAAUCAUAAAUGAUCUUCUCGAGUCUCAUAAAAAAGAAUGGGAAAAUUAUGGAUGUACAUUGAUGUGUGAUGGAUGGACGGAUAGAAAAGAGAGAACCUUGAUUAAUUUCUUGGCUAAUAGUCCAAAGGGAAGUGUAUUUAUUAAAUCAGUUGAUGCAAGUGAUGAAUCAAAGACAGCGGCAUUGUUGGCUAGUUUGAUUGAGAAAGAAUUGAUGGAAAUUGGUCCUGAAAAAGUAGUUCAAGUUAUUAUAGAUAAUGCAUCAAAUAAUGUUGCAGCAGGGAGAAUAUUGGAAACAAAUUUUUCUCAUCUAUACUGGACUCCAUGUGCAGCUCAUUGUAUAGAUUUGAUGUUGGAGGAUAUCUUUAAGAUCCGUGUUUUCAAAGAAACAUUCCGCAAAGCUGUUGAGCUUACUGAUUUCACAUAUGGCUCUUCAGGAGUUCUAAAUAUGUUGCGGAAGUUUACUUGAUGAUGAGUAGUUUUAGUUAUAAGUUUUUUAUGUACUUAUUGCAUUUUGUUUAUUAUGACUUACAACUUAUUUUUAUGUAUUAAUGUCUGAACUUCUAUAAUUUAUAUUUUCUAUUAUGUGACUUAUGACUUAUUUCUAAUUUUUUAUUUAUUAUGUAUAAUUUUAUAGCGUCACUUUUAUCAUAUACAUCUGCUGAAAAUUCAGGUAUGAACUAUUUCUUUUUUUAACAUCUCUUAUUAUUAUGUGUGUUUUUACUUAUGCUAUAUAUUUUAAUUUCUGAUCUCAUACUUUCACUUGUAUCUUAUACUUAAGCUGGAAAUACAGGUAUGCACUAUUUUCAAUUUCUCUUAUUUUAGAUAUAAACAUAGUGUAAAUCAUAUUUUUUUUCUUUUUAAUAUGUUUUUUUACUUAUCAACUAUUUAAAAGUAUAUAUAUAUAUAUAUAUAUAUAUAUAUAUAUAUAUAUAUAUAUAUAUAUAUAUAUAUAUAAUUUAAACAAUUAAGGUUAUGGCGCCUCUUUUCAAAAAGGCCCUCGCCUCGCCUCUCGCCUCUCGCCUAAGGCAAUAGAAUACUCUAUCGCCUUAGUGUCGCCUUUCGCCUUGAUAACACUGGAUAUAUGAGUAUGCAUGGAUGAUUAUUGGGUUGAAUGAGAGAGCUGAGCUCCCAUUUGAAAUAGUAUUGUUAUGAGUAUAUGGAAGGUGAGCUGAGCUCCUCAAAUUGUUAUAUAUAUUGUGCUUAUAGGUCGGGUGAGUCAAAAACUUCUGGUUGGAUGGUCCAUGUUAUGGUCGGACUCUGUCCGGUUGAUUUCUUGAAAUUGGGCUCAAUAUGGGCCUUAGAAUUGGGUUAAGAAAUAGUUAGGCUUACUACGGCCCUCGGGAGCUUUAGGCUGGAUCAGGUCCUAGUGCCGGUCCGACUCAUAGGUUGGGUCGUGACAAUUAUGGUAUUAGAGCUUAGGCACCAGAUUCAUGGGAAAUAUAUGUCUAAUGCUUAAGAAGAGUCUGGUUAGGGGUUCACAUGCGGAGUAUAGAAUCCUAUUUCAUCUUCUUCUAUAACUCCUUGUUUCUGGCUUCUACGUUAUACCUUGGGUAAUAUAAGAGUGCUUCAAUUGGUGUCUUGAUUUUCGUGGAGUACAUAGAGAUGCGAAGUAGAGUUAGCAUACGUGUUGAGAUCUGUCAUGGGAAUACGUACUCCAAAAAAUGCUAUAUUUUUAUUAGUAUGGAGCUAAUGAUGUGCCUAUCUAGUGCAAGGUACUAGUAUUUAAAGGCGAGUUUUGACAGCAUAGCUGACCUAGAUGGGAGUGAGGGUACCACUGCUAACAGUCAUCUGUGGAUAGCCUAGUCAGAGUAAGUGUAUAUUAUUAGUGAGUUAAAGAGAGAUAAGAGGAUCUAGAAAUUUGGCAUAUGGGAAGUACCAUAGUAACUAUGCAAUAUUCUCGAUGUUUAUGCUGUAAGCUGCAGAUUACAGUAUCGAUAUGGGAUUAUUGUGUAGAGCUGCAUGCUUUCCCAUGGUGCACCAUGAUUAGGGUGUUCGUAAAUAACCUCUGUUUUGGUACAAUUAGGUCAAGAUAGAGUUUUAUUUCUGCAGAGGAGUUAGGAAAACUCCUAUUUAGGGUUUAAGACCCUAGAGAUUGAACACCAAAAGUUGCAGUUGGGUGAUAACUAGAGUCAAUGACUCAGUUAUCCUACUUUGAGCGCAAAGUUAGAGCAGAAGUGGCACAAGACUAGAGGUUUUUAGUAUGAUUGCAAUUUAAUGGUGACACCUACUUGGUGGGAUCAUCUGGUCUCCAGUAUGAGAUCGUUGGCAGUGUUGGCAUUACAAUGGACGUAUUGCCUAAAGUUUAAUGAAGAUAGCACCUUUUUCGUGUGACAUUGGAGCGUAAGUACGACUCUACUCCCUAAAGGAUAUUGGAGGUUAUGAAUAAUAUUCGUAGCCUGUGAAAUGACAUUCUAGGAAGGUUGAAAAUAUAAAAAGAGAGCAAACAACUUUAUAUAGUUGUGGUAAUGGGGUUGAGGUAGUACCUCUCUUGCAGUCAGUUAUACAGUAGAUUAUAGUAAUGUUUUCUGAGGAGAGACAGAAGAGUACCACUAAUAUAACGAUCUGUGGAAUGAUGUCCUAAAUGGGACUAUAGUGUGAUAGGAAAUAGUGGCUCAGGUAUCCCCUUAGUAAGAGUAAAAUUUUCGUUGUGAGGAUCAUAAGAGAUCAGAUCAUGAUGGAUGCAGAGCUUUGGAGUAGUAAAGGAAAAAAAAAAAGGAUCUUGUAGAUUCCCUCCUUGAGGUAUUAAAGGGUAGUUUAGAGUUAAACAGAGGAAAGGACAAUGACUGCAAGUCAGCCAAAAUAAGUCAUAAAAUAUCAGUAGAUAAAAGGAAAUAUAUAAAUGAAAAUUUGGAUAGUUGGUUUUAGAUGCAACAGGAGAGAAAUUCGAAUGAUGGUAGAAGUACCAGCCAGAGUGGUUAGAGUACCAAUUUUGAGUAACAUGAAGGUGUUGAUAACUUGAUAGAGACAGUAAAGGAAUAUAAGUUCCUGACAUGAUAGUCAGAUCAAGAAAGAGAGUAGCACUAAAAAAUGAAAUAGUCAAGUUCUACUUUGGGUAAGAUAAAAGAGAUGAAUUAAAGAGCAAACCGAAUAGCCAAAAAUAGGACAAGGUCAUGAAGAUCAAAGUGUGAUAUAAGGUAUAUAAAGUGCCAUCCUGAGCAAGGUAAAUAGGAUGAACUGAAAGGCAAUAUUAGAAAACCUAGAACAAGGGUACAUGAGUGAGGAUAGCUGUUAAGAUAUAGAAUCCAAAAGUGCAGGACUUAGAGCAGGUUAUGGUUCGGGCAGUGUCAGGAGCCAAAACAUGGGGUUCAGAGUUGCAAGAUAUGGAUCAAACUCUGUCUAUUCCUAUUUCUGAGAUGGAGUAGGUAGCAAUGGGAUAAGUCUAUUUAGACUUUUAACAGUAUGAGGAAAGUUAGUUAAGGAAUGCAACCAGAGCAAGUAAAAGUUAUAGGAUGUGCAAUGGUAUCUUGAACUGUUCUAUCAGGCAAAGGAGUGAAUUAAUAAGUAGUAAGUUAAAUAAAAGUAAAACUAAUGGUUCAAAUAGGCAUGAUGAACAAAAAGGAUGGUGGAAAAUGACACAUAGGCUUAGGACCUGAGUAGAGGUGGUGAGAUAGCAACUAUGGGGUCUGCGAUCAAGGAUUAGAUAAACAUUUUUAGUAUGACCAAUAGGGUCACUUUAUAAGGAAACAUAAAUGAAAAUGAGUGACUGAACCACAGAAGGAGAUAGAGCAGAAAGAGAUAUGUAUGAGUGACAGUCACAAGUCACUGAGAAGUACAAGGAUAAGAGUUAUGACAGUAAGCAUGAUUGGAAUCCAUUUUGGAAGAGUUUAUUAGUGAGAGAUAUCUUCUUGAAUACAGUAAAAUAUAGGGAUGCAAAAGAGUUAAGAUAGGCAUAAAAAGGUAGAAAUGGAGUAUAAGUGGAGAUAGAAAAUCUUAAGAUGAUAUAUUAGGCAAAUCGGUGGUACAAUAGAAGGAUUGCUGUAGUUGAUAUCUCAUAUAGAGAUGAUGAAAUUUUAGGGAGAAGACCAAGAGACAUGAAUGGUGCAUUGAUGUCAGUAGGAGGGGAUUUCUCCUUCUCUUCAAGUUUAGAUCGUACCUUUGGCUGUAGAAGUCUACAUAAGCAAGGGAAAUAAUGUUGUGAUGAACCAGUAUUUAAGAAUUUGGUAGGCACCAGUCUGUACACAUUCUCCUUAAAAGGAAAUGAUGUCAAGUGUGUACCUAAUGUUAAGUAUGAAAGGACGAUCAGAAUAGUGAUAGGAGUUAAAUCGAGUUAGUUAUGAAGGCUUGCAAGCCUUCUGAACUAUAAGCUGAAGGAAGUACUAUUUGUGGAUGAGUUACAGUGGAUGAAAUUGUUGCUGAUGGGUAAAUUUGAGGUUGAAGUUUGGAGAGCUGUGGGCAAUAUGUGUGGUUAUGUUAAGGAGAAUGGAUAUGUGAAGUAUUUUGUCUGGAAUUAUGGCAUAGCACAUAUUUCCCAUAGCCAUAUUAGUUCGGGUGGAACUUAUAGUUUCAAGCGCUCCUAUCUAACCAUGAUGAGCGAUUUCCUACAAAUGGUGGUAGGGAAUGAUAACUUCUGAUGGUCAAGUUGGAAAAGAAGAUACAAUAAGAAUUUUCUAUGGUAUCACAGGUGUUACAUAAUAUGAAGGAUAUGCUAGUAGGAGCCAAUCAUAAUGUUAGAAUUCUGGAAGUGAUGGAACUAGUAAUCAAGAUAGGACUAAGAAAUAAAAAGUAGAUUAAAGUUGAUGAUGGAAUGGACAUCCUUGAAGGAAAAGGUAUAAGGGUGAGAGAGGACAAAGGUUAAAGAAUAAGUACAGUAAGUUGGAAAGAUAUCAACAAUAGCAGAAAUAGGAAAAGGAAGUGGAUAAGAUCUAAAGGAUAGGAGAAAAGCUCGGUAGAGUUGGUUACAAUGAUGAGAAUAAGAAGGAACAAGUAUACUAGGGACACACUAAGAGAUGUUUAAAACAAGUUAUGGUGAGAUGAUAGACUAAAUGAAUAAUGGAGCCUCGGUUUAAGUACCAAUGUGUCCAAAAGCACGUCAGAUAGUAAGAAGUUUUAAGCAGAAGUCAAGGAACUCUCUUUUUAGGAAAUGAGUAGGCUAUGAUAAGUAGUGUUGACUGGGUGGAACUCUACACAACUAAUUACCUAAGAUAGGUAGGAAUUGUUACAAGGAACUCUUUGGUGACACAAAGUAAGUUAGAAGCUUGCAGUAUCAUGGAAUUAGGAAGAUAAAAAUGUUUUUAGCAUGGGAGGAUCUAGCUAAAGCUUUAAUGGCCAACAGAAUUAGCAAUGAUCUUGGGCAAGGUGCAUGCAAAAGUAGUUGUUUCAGAAGGGUGUUUCAUGAGACGUUGUAAAACAGACAAUAUGAGUCACAUCCUUACACCACGGAUAUUGGUAAUAAAGGGGAAUAAAGGCUAGUGCUGCAGGAUACCAUAUCAGAGUGUAGAAGAAGUAUAGAUGGUAUAGGUACACUUGGCAUUUCGAUGGAACUCUACAUGACUAGAUGCAUAAGAUGGACAAGAGUUGGUCUAAGGACCUUAGUAAUGACACAAAGGAGAUUGGAAUUUCGAAGUAUCAUGGGAGUGAGAAGAUGCAUAGGUAUUGACCAUUGAGGUCAUAGAACAAGUAGAAAUUUCGAAUGAGAUGCCUAUGACAGGUGCUACAGGAAAGCAUCUCAUAGGAUACUAUAGGAUAAGAAACAUAAGUUAUGUCUUUGGAAAGUAGAGAUUGUUGAAACAGAGGAAUGGAUACUGAAGUCGUUAAGAGAUACGUUAGGACACAAUGAAGGAGAGGUAAGCACCAAAGCUGAUUGAAGUUAUGAGAUAUCAAGUCAAGCGCAGUGGAGGUAUAGUGACUACUGAAGAUGUUAGAAAAAGAUGAGGAGUGGUUUGAGGUAUGAGUUUCGCUAUGAAAUGAUGAUGAUAGCUAGGACACUACAGCAGACAAAAGAGCUAUACAGAUCCUAGGCAAAAGGAUUUAGAGUUUACAGUGGGCGAUUAUGUAUUCCUGAAGGUCUCUCCGAUGAAGGGAGUUAUGAGAUUUGGAAAGAAGGGAAACCUCGCAUCCCGAUACAUAGGGCCUUUUGAGAUUACUGAUAGAGUUGGAGCAGAGGCCUAUCGGUUGGAGUUACCACCAAGCUUUUCUCACGUCCACUCAGUGUUCCACAUUUUCAUGAUUAGGAAGUACAUACCUGAUCCCUCCCAUGUGUUACAACCUGAUACAAUGGAGUUGAAGGAAAACCUAACCUUUGAGGAACAGCCAGUAGCCAUAGUGGACUUUCAGAUGAGGUAGCUAAGGUCACAAUAGAUCCCUAUGGUUAAGGUUUUGUGAAGGAGCCAAUCGGUAGAAGAGUGUACCUGGGAGUCAGAGUAGGACAUGCACAACAAGUACCUGUACUUGUACACAGUGUAAUCUCAUAAUUCUUUAUUCUGCUUUGUGUAAAAUUCGAGAACGAAUUUUCUGUAGGAGGGAGGGAGAAUGUAACCCCUAAUUUUCAAAUAAUUAUUUUAUAUGUAAAUAUAAAUAUUUUAGUCUAACCCCCGAUGUUGUGGGUUUUGCGUAGGUACUUUCGUUUCAUGGCAAUUCAACUGUCGCCCGGAUCUACAAUUUCAGGCUGAGCAGAUAAGCUGCCGGAAUUACUUCAGAAACGGAUUAAAGUUAUAGGCUGCCUCACCAUUUUCAGAUGCCCCCGAACGCGUUCCAACCAUCAGAAUUGGCAUAGGUGGGCCAGGAUUGGCUUCCUCCUCUGCCCAGUCACCGCAGUGACUUCGGUUUACGUCUGGGAAACCAAGGAUAUACAUGUGGAGAUUGGUCUAAAGCAGAGAAUUGUUACACACAAGGGAUAAAUUGUGUUUCUAAAAGUAAGACAACUAGAACCUGUCUCAGGCAUUGAUGUUGUGCUAUAGCAACCGUGCAGCAACAUGAAUCUCUCUUGGAAGAAUGAGAGAUGCGCUUCGAGAUUUUAAAAUCGCUGCUGAAAUUGAUCCCCAUUUUCUCAGGGUGCAAGUAAGAGCUGCAAAUUAUUAACUGGCCCUGAGGGAAGUUGAAAAUGCAUGAGUAUUUCAAGAAGUGCUUGCAGUUAGGAAGCGACAGUGUGGACCGAAAAAUUGCAGUUGAAGCCUCUGAGGGACUACAAAAGGCGCAGCUAUGUGAGCAGACUUUUGAUUCUGCUGAGCAGAAUUCUCCUCUAAUAGAUGCUGAUUGCCAGUCAGCAGAUCUGGAUAGUAGUGAACAUAUGAAGAACUCCUUUUCUCUCUGGCGAAGCCACCUGACUUUCAAAUCCUACUUCUAUCUUGGAAAGCUGGAAGAGGCUAUUGGUUCACUAGAAAAGCAAGAGGAACUGAUUGCAAAAAGGGUAAAUCAUACUCCAUACUCAUAUGGAAUAACUUUGAUUUUAAUUUUUCCAGUUUGAUACUUGUACUGUUCCUUCAGUGGUUUGUCCAGGAAUUAUAGCAAGAUGACGCAAUCAUUAACACCCUUAGCUGUCACUGUACGGAUUAGAUGGGGUAUCCUUUGAAGGAAGAGUGGAACACAAUCCUGUUUUACCGCAGGCUGCAGUAAAUGAAGCAUUUCAAGCAGGAAAGCAUUCAGAAGCCAUUGAGCAUUAUACUGCAAUUCCAGAAGAAAGCAAAAGAGAAAUGGAAAAGAUGAACCAAGCAUUCUCACGAGAUUGUAGGGGAAGCUCUUCUUGGGUCACGUGCCAACACGGGUAUCCCUGAGGAUAGUGACAAUGGCAAGGAGUUUCUUAGGGACGGUAACAACGAGAACAAGUUAUCAAUUGAUGAGAGAUGUUGAUUAUUGUUUAGAAGGGCUCUAGGUUAUGCCCCAUUGGUAGUGUAGAAUAUGGAUCUGAACAAGGCGAAUUCGGCCAAGGACAUCAUAGCUGCAUGAAAACUGUUCUACGCUAAAUAGUUGUAACCGCCACCCAUAAGAAUCCUUCAAUAGCUCCUCUGUCGAAGCAAUGGAUUCUAUAAGGACUGUUGUUGCAGAAGUUGAACAUCCGGUGUAUUGGAAAGAUUGGUUAAACAGAAUGUUAUUUCCCUUCUUUACCA